AUUGAACGCUGGCGGCAUGCCUUACACAUGCAAGUCGAACGGCAGCACGGGAGCAAUCCUGGUGGCGAGUGGCGAACGGGUGAGUAAUGUAUCGGAACGUGCCCAGUCGUGGGGGAUAACGCAGCGAAAGCUGUGCUAAUACCGCAUACGAUCUAUGGAUGAAAGCGGGGGAUCGCAAGACCUCGCGCGAUUGGAGUGGCCGAUAUCAGAUUAGCUAGUUGGUGGGGUAAAAGCUUACCAAGGCGACGAUCUGUAGCUGGUCUGAGAGGACGACCAGCCACACUGGAACUGAGACACGGUCCAGACUCCUACGGGAGGCAGCGGUGGGGAAUUGUGGACAAUGGGCGCAAGCCUGAGCCAGCAAUGCCGCGUGCAGGAUGAAGGCCUUCGGGUUGUAAACUGCUUUUGUACGGAGCGAAAAGGCUCUCUCUAAUACAGGGGGCUCAUGACGGUACCGUAAGAAUAAGCACCGGCUAACUACGUGCCAGCAGCCGCCUAA
rnacentral:rRNA from 1 species